GGGGAGGAGAGAGGGACAGAGAGCCUGCUUGCUUUAAAGGAGCCAACCGGACAGGAGCCACUUACACUCGUGUAAGAGGCUCCUCUCCUCUCCCGCUUUGCUCCUUUAAAGCAAGCAGGCUCUCUGUCCCUCUGUCCUCCCC
rnacentral:miRNA from 1 species